rnacentral:rRNA from 1 species
GUUAUAGAGUCAAGUGAAUAAGUGCAUAUCGUGGAUGCCUUGGCGAUUACAGGCGAUGAAGGACGUUGUAGGCUGCGAUAAGCCUCGGGGAGCUGCCAAACAAGCUUUGAUCCGAGGAUUUCCGAAUGGGGAAACCCACCCGAAAGGGUAUCCCAUGCUGAAUACAUAGGCAUGUGGAAGCGAACCCGGCGAACUGAAACAUCUAAGUAGCUGGAGGAAAAGAAAUCAACCGAGAUUCCGAAAGUAGUGGCGAGCGAAAUCGGAACAGCCUUGACGUUUUAGCAACGUUAUUAACAGAACGCUCUGGAAAGUGCGGCCAUAGUGGGUGAUAGCCCCGUAUGUAAAAACUCGUUGUGGAACUAAGCGUCAGAAAAGUAGGGCGGGACACGUGAAAUCCUGUCUGAA